AUUGAACGCUGGCGGAAUGCUUUACACAUGCAAGUCGAACGGCAGCACGGGUGCUUGCACCUGGUGGCGAGUGGCGAACGGGUGAGUAAUGCGUCGGAACGUACCGAGUAAUGGGGGAUAACGCACCGAAAGGUGUGCUAAUACCGCAUACGCCCUGAGGGGGAAAGUGGGGGAUCGUAAGACCUCACGUUAUUCGAGCGGCCGACGUCUGAUUAGCUAGUUGGUGGGGUAAUGGCUCACCAAGGCGACGAUCAGUAGCGGGUCUGAGAGGAUGAUCCGCCACACUGGGACUGAGACACGGCCCAGACUCCUACGGGAGGCAGCAGUGGGGAAUUUUGGACAAUGGGCGAAAGCCUGAUCCAGCCAUUCCGCGUGAGUGAAGAAGGCCUUCGGGUUGUAAAGCUCUUUCAGUUGGAACGAAGCGGUACGCUCUAACAUAGCGUGCUAAUGACGGUACCGACAGAAGAAGCACCGGCUAACUACGUGCCAGCAGCCGCGGUAAUACGUAGGGUGCGAGCGUUAAUCGGAAUUACUGGGCGUAAAGCGUGCGCAGGCGGAUUGUUAAGCAAGACGUGAAAUCCCCGGGCUUAACCUGGGAAUGGCGUUUUGAACUGGCAGUCUAGAGUGUGUCAGAAGGGGGUGGAAUUCCACGUGUAGCAGUGAAAUGCGUAGAGAUGUGGAGGAACACCGAU
rnacentral:rRNA from 1 species